UACAGAGGGUGCGAGCGUUGUUCGGAAUUAUUGGGCGUAAAGAGCGUGUAGGCGGCUUGACAAGUCUGCUGUGAAAACUCGAGGCUCAACCUCGAGCUGUCGGUGGAAACUGUCUGGCUAGAGUCCGGAAGAGGAGAGUGGAAUUCCUGGUGUAGCGGUGAAAUGCGCAGAUAUCAGGAAGAACACCUAUGGCGAAGGCAGCUCUCUGGGACGGUACUGACGCUGAGACGCGAAAGCGUGGGGAGCGAACAGG
rnacentral:rRNA from 1 species